UUUUAACCCUUAAUCAAAUACAGGGAAAUUAUUUCCCACUUCGUCUAAAUCGAAAAAAAUAUUUUUAUUUUUUUACUGGUAAGUCUGAUCAAUACCAACAUUAGAAACAAAAUAAUCUUGAUUAAGUUUUAAAUUUUAUUAAUUGCAUCACUUUAAAAAAAACCGCAAGCUGUCAUCGUACGUCAAUGUCAAAAUCACGAUUUCAAUUUUUCUGUGUCAAAAACCGGUUCUCGUGACAUAAUUUCAAAAUUUUUGGAGAAAAAAAUCUGCUAAGUACCUAACUACAAUAUUAUUGUAAACUAAACUUGUUUUAUAAAUGGAUUUUAUGGUGAUUGGCACGCAUUUUGAAAAAAUGGACAAAAAGAAACGUAAAAUAUCGCUUACUACGAAGAAUUUAGAAGAAACUGUCGAAAACAUAGCUGACAUUUCUGAUUUAUCAGGCACAUAUUCGGAAGACGACUCAUGCUAUGCCAACAGUAUUAAUUCUCCUCCCGAUAGUUACCUUAAUCAACUUGACGACUGCAUAUUUCCUUAUUAAAAUAUUGUUCUGUAUCA